rnacentral:snRNA from 1 species
UUUUCUUGUAAUGUUGAUUCUAAGCAUUAAUAAACGAACAAAAUCUGUUCUUAUCAGCUUAACAUCUGAUACACCUUUCAUCGAAAGGUUCAAAUGUUAAACUAAUUUUUUCAAAAUUUGGUGGAGAUUUCGGGGCUUGCUCCUGCUUCACCGCGGGUUGACCCGAUAUUGCAGUACCAUGGGGAACGGCCCACAUAAU